UGACACAUCUCUAUAUGACCCUCUGCUUGCAGCAGCCUCAGCUCUGCAGCAGAAGGUGCUGACCCCAGGGGAGGAUGGAGGUCUGUACCUGCUUGGAGGGGAACACAAGGCAAUGUUACCUGGAGUGCCAGCAGCUGGGAUUGGUGGUCAAACAGGACAGCAGUGCCUGGCUAUAAACUUCACUUGGAUUGUAAGGCCUGCUCCAGCACACAGAGAGACCCAGGUGUUGGUGUGUCAUCAUUAAACCCGUAGCGAUGGGGAGCCAAGCUUACCUCUAGUCCCAGCUCUUCCUGGAGAGAUGUCCCUGGGGGACCCAGCAGUGGCAGAUCAGACUCAGUGCCACAAACAGGGUCAAGAACAAACGUCUGGCUCUUCAUGAACUGCUUGGAGGAAAAGGCAGCAGCAGGGCAAAAUGACAGGAAAUGCGAAGUAAAAACAUACUUUGACAUCCAAGCUAUAUCAUCCUGAGACAGCCAAACAUACCACAGUGUCUGAGCUAAUGAAUAUUGAAUUGUCCAGUGGGGGAGUGACUCAGAAAGCCUCAUCGGUGACAACGGAGUGACUGUUCUGUGCAGUAUGAUGACAGCCGUGAGUGUGGAGAGAUGUGUGUGUUCCUAAUAUUUUUAAAAAAAAGCCCCAGAGUCUUAUGGAGAAACCCACAGAUUGGGAAAUGAUAAAACUGUAAUUUCUAGUCUUGGUCCUGUUGGUGGUUCUCCUUACGGUCUCAGACAAGUUGUUUCUGUUUUCUGCUCUUUUUUUCUCUCCCUUAUCUUCAUAUGGUCUUGUCUAUUUAUACUGUAAGUUUUCCAUCACCUGGAAUUAUUCCUGGGAUAGUACCACAGAAUAAUUUCUGGAUUCGAUUUGAUUACAACAAAUAAAAUUCAGUGGGU